CGGCUGCGCGUGAACAACAACACUAUCACUCUCGAGAGUGGCGGCGUGGCAUUUCUGCUAUGCGUGGCGGCUAAUGGGCUUGAAUAAUUGGACUGUGUGAGCAAACGCUUCCAGGCCUGAAAGUGGCCCGCUCUUGUUUGGUGUCCCAACUUCAACCGUCAGCAGCGUGAGAGAAGCUGAAGCAGCCAAUGACAGCAAAUGUAGUGCAUUAAGACUUGACCUUCUACUUCUUGCUUUGACUACCCGGACGGAGCCCUCAGGCAUGCACUCGAAAGUCUUCUCCUUCCACACAGACAACACUAACCGGCGCUGGAGAGGAGAUGCAGCGUCAUUCUCAACCCAAAUCAGGUUUUAUCUGGAUAUCUUGGACAGGGAGGCCCACAGGAGUUGCAACGCUGCUGUUGUUGCAAAACCGGACGGACGGUCUGGAAACGAGUUACAGCGAGAGAGGGAGAGGGGGGGCGACACGGGACCCGAGCCAGUCAAUCAGGCUGCUGAGGGCUGGCGGCGGAGGAGGGGGGAAGGGAAAGAACCCCCACAGGAUGGCAUCAAGCAACAUGGGCCCACCAUUCCAUAGAAAGCCACAACUGUGUCAAGCGUGCAGAUUAUUAGGCACGCCUGGCCCAUGCCACGCUAGCUAAUAAAGAAUCUGUAUACCAAAA